AUUGAACGCUGGCGGCAGGCCUAACACAUGCAAGUCGAGCGGAUGAGUGGAGCUUGCUCCAUGAUUCAGCGGCGGACGGGUGAGUAAUGCCUAGGAAUCUGCCUGGUAGUGGGGGACAACGCUUCGAAAGGAACGCUAAUACCGCAUACGUCCUACGGGAGAAAGUGGGGGAUCUUCGGACCUCACGCUAUCAGAUGAGCCUAGGUCGGAUUAGCUAGUUGGUGAGGUAAAGGCUCACCAAGGGGACGAUCCGUAACUGGCCUGAGAGGAUGAUCAGUCACACUGGAACUGAGACACGGUCCAGACUCCUACGGGAGGCAGCAGUGGGGAAUAUUGGACAAUGGGCGAAAGCCUGAUCCAGCCAUGCCGCGUGUGUGAAGAAGGUCUUCGGAUUGUAAAGCACUUUAAGUUGGGAGGAAGGGCAGUAAGUUAAUACCUUGCUGUUUUGACGUUACCAACAGAAUAAGCACCGGCUAACUUCGUGCCAGCCGCCGCCGUAAAAC
rnacentral:rRNA from 1 species